CGAGUGGAUCUAAGCGGGAUGACGCGGGGGAAGCAGAAGAUCGAGGCACAACGAAGAAACGCAGAGAGGAAUCAGAAGCCAAAGGGGUCGCAGCUUGAGGCCCGAGCCGGUGGGCUUAAAGUUGCCUGUCCCAUCUGCAAGGGGGGAGUACUACAUGCUUAGUUUGAGAAACAAAUGGACACCAUCCCCCUCAGCUCACCCUGGGCCCUGAGGGGCUGCGAAUCAACUGGCCAGAAAUCCACCACCGCCUGUUUAUUUAAGAAAGAAUAUGGUGGAAUCAGGAAAUUAAAAUAAAACUGUCAGAGCGGGUUAAACUUAGAAUUCAUGCCAUGUUAAUGCUGAUGUUUUGUGAAGAGGAUAUAUAUUACACUGUAGAAGAGAAAGUGAUGUGAAUUCCUUUUUAAGAAAGUUUUUAAAUCGUAUUGAGUUUCAGAUGUUAAAUAUGCCAAUGUAUGAGACGAGUAUAAAACUGUGGAUCUUGGGAAACAGUAUGCUGAAUAUAGUCAUAAAAUUAUCCA